CGGACGGGUGGGUAAUGUCUGGGAAACUGCCCGAUGGAGGGGGAUAACUACUGGAAACGGUAGCUAAUACCGCAUAACGUCGCAAGACCAAGAGGGGACCUUCGGGCCUCUUGCCAUCGGAUGUGCCCAGAUGGGAUUAGCUAGUAGGUGGGGUAACGGCUCACCUAGGCGACGAUCCCUAGCUGGUCUGAGAGGAUGACCAGCCACACUGGAACUGAGACACGGUCCAG
rnacentral:rRNA from 1 species